CAAACGCGCGUCCUUGUCCCGGCAUCCCGAACGUCGGGUAUGUAGUGCAGCCGGGCUCGGCGCACUCGUGGUUUACAAAGCAGGAGUGAGCCGAGCCCGGCUGCACCACGCAGCCGACGUUCGGGAUUCUGGGACGAGGACCCACGUUUU
rnacentral:pre_miRNA from 1 species